rnacentral:rRNA from 1 species
UACGAAGGGGGAGCUAGCGUUGUUCGGAAUUACUGGGCGUAAAGCGCACGUAGGCGGAUAUUUAAGUCAGGGGUGAAAUCCCAGAGCUCAACUCUGGAACUGCCUUUGAUACUGGGUAUCUUGAGUAUGGAAGAGGUGAGUGGAAUUCCGAGUGUAGAGGUGAAAUUCGUAGAUAUUCGGAGGAACACCAGUGGCGAAGGCGGCUCACUGGUCCAUUACUGACGCUGAGGUGCGAAAGCGUGGGGAGCAAACAGG